rnacentral:ncRNA from 1 species
ACCCGUCUUGUCAGGGGUGAAAGGCGACUUGUCUAUGAUCGUAUAGAGACGGCGAGUCGUGCCAACACCUUGUACAACGAACACCACAUAAAAGGCGAGUGAGUUCAGCCCUACUUAGGCUGAUCUUACCCGCCAAUUUUUGGAAGC